rnacentral:rRNA from 1 species
AUACGUGUGGUCCUAGCGUUGUCCGGAAUAACUGGGCGUAAAGGGUGUGUAGGCGGAUAUCCGUGUCAGGUGUGAAAUUCCCCGGCUUAACUGGGGCAUUGCGCUUGAAACUGGAUAUCUGGAGCGUGUCAGGGGUAAGCGGAAUUCCCGGAGUAGCGGUGAAAUGCGUAGAUAUCGGGAAGAACACCGGUGGCGAAGGCGGCUUACUGGGACAUGGCUGACGCUGAGGCACGAAAGCGUGGGGAGC